AAUGGAUAUCUAGGCUCUCGCAUCGAUGAAGAACGUAGCGAAAUGCGAUACUUGGUGUGAAUUGCAGAACCCCGUGAACCAUCGAGUCUUUGA
rnacentral:rRNA from 1 species